rnacentral:rRNA from 1 species
CACGUAGGGCGCGAGCGUUGUCCGGAAUUAUUGGGCGUAAAGGGCGCGUAGGCGGUCAGCACAAGUCAGUUGUGAAAUCUCCGGGCUUAACUCGGAAAGGUCAACUGAUACUGUGCGACUAGAGUGCAGAAGGGGCAACUGGAAUUCUCGGUGUAGCGGUGAAAUGCGUAGAUAUCGAGAGGAACACCUGCGGCGAAGGCGGGUUGCUGGGCUGACACUGACGCUGAUGCGCGAAAGCCAGGGGAGCGAACGGG